rnacentral:rRNA from 1 species
GAGUGGCGAACUGGUGAGUAACACGUGGGAAACCUGCCCAGAAGCGGGGGAUAACACCUGGAAACAGAUGCUAAUACCGCAUAACAACUUGGACCGCAUGGUCCGAGUUUGAAAGAUGGCUUCGGCUAUCACUUUUGGAUGGUCCCGCGGCGUAUUAGCUAGAUGGUGAGGUAACGGCUCACCAUGGCAAUGAUACGUAGCCGACCUGAGAGGGUAAUCGGCCACAUUGGGACUGAGACACGGCCCAAACUCCUACGGGAGGCAGCAGUAGGGAAUCUUCCACAAUGGACGAAAGUCUGAUGGAGCAACGCCGCGUGAGUGAAGAAGGGUUUCGGCUCGUAAAACUCUGUUGUUAAAGAAGAACAUAUCUGAGAGUAACUGUUCAGGUAUUGACGGUAUUUAACCAGAAAGCCACGGCUAACUACGUGCCAGCAGCCGCGGUAAUACGUAGGUGGCAAGCGUUGUCCGGAUUUAUUGGGCGUAAAGCGAGCGCAGGCGGUUUUUUAAGUCUGAUGUGAAAGCCUUCGGCUCAACCGAAGAAGUGCAUCGGAAACUGGGAAACUUGAGUGCAGAAGAGGACAGUGGAACUCCAUGUGUAGCGGUGAAAUGCGUAGAUAUAUGGAAGAACACCAGUGGCGAAGGCGGCUGUCUGGUCUGUAACUGACGCUGAGGCUCGAAAGUAUGGGUAGCAAACAGGAUUAGAUACCCUGGUAGUCCAUACCGUAAACGAUGAAUGCUAAGUGUUGGAGGGUUUCCGCCCUUCAGUGCUGCAGCUAACGCAUUAAGCAUUCCGCCUGGGGAGUACGGCCGCAAGGCUGAAACUCAAAGGAAUUGACGGGGGCCCGCACAAGCGGUGGAGCAUGUGGUUUAAUUCGAAGCUACGCGAAGAACCUUACCAGGUCUUGACAUACUAUGCAAAUCUAAGAGAUUAGACGUUCCCUUCGGGGACAUGGAUACAGGUGGUGCAUGGUUGUCGUCAGCUCGUGUCGUGAGAUGUUGGGUUAAGUCCCGCAACGAGCGCAACCCUUAUUAUCAGUUGCCAGCAUUAAGUUGGGCACUCUGGUGAGACUGCCGGUGACAAACCGGAGGAAGGUGGGGAUGACGUCAAAUCAUCAUGCCCCUUAUGACCUGGGCUACACACGUGCUACAAUGGAUGGUACAACGAGUUGCGAACUCGCGAGAGUAAGCUAAUCUCUUAAAGCCAUUCUCAGUUCGGAUUGUAGGCUGCAACUCGCCUACAUGAAGUCGGAAUCGCUAGUAAUCGCGGAUCAGCAUGCCGCGGUGAAUACGUUCCCGGGCCUUGUACACACCGCCCGUCACACCAUGAGAGUUUGUAACACCCAAAGUCGGUGGGGUAACCUUUUAGGAACCAGCCGCCUAAGGUGGGACAGAUGAUUAGGGUGAAGUCGUAACAAGGUAGCC